GUUCGAACUCGUGCUAAUAUGUCCUCACAGGAAACGAUACAGAGAAGAUUAGCAUGGCCCCUGCACUAAGGAUGACACGCUCAAUCAAAGAGAAGCUACCAAUUUUU
rnacentral:snRNA from 1 species